GAUGAACGCUAGCGGCAGGCCUAAUUCAUGCAGGUCGAGGGGCAGCAGGAAUAGCAAUAUUUGCUGGCGACCGGCGCACGGGUGCGUAACACGUAUACAAUCUGCCUUCUACAGGGGGAUAGCCUUUCGAAAGAGAGAUUAAUACCCCAUAACACAAGAAAUAGCAUUAUUUUUUGUUGAAAGAUCCGUCGGUAGAAGAUGAGUAUGCGGGUGAUUAGCUAGUUGGUGAGGUAACGGCUCACCAAGGCAACGAUCACUAGGGGAUCUGGGAGGACGCCCCCCCACACAGGUACUGUGACACGUACCAGACUCCUACGGGAGGCAGCAGUAAGGAAUAUUGGACAAUGGAGGCAACUCUUAUCCAGCCAUGCCGCUUGCAGGAUGAAGGCCCUAUGGGUCGUAAACUGCUUUUGUACGAGAGAAAACCUAUUUACGUGUAGAUAGUUGAUAGUAUCGUAAGAAUAAGGAUCGGCUAACUUCGUGCCAGCAGCCGCCGUAA
rnacentral:rRNA from 1 species